rnacentral:rRNA from 1 species
UACGAAGGGGGCUAGCGUUGCUCGGAAUCACUGGGCGUAAAGCGCACGUAGGCGGAUCUUUAAGUCAGGGGUGAAAUCCCGGAGCUCAACUCCGGAACUGCCUUUGAUACUGGAGAUCUUGAGUCCGGGAGAGGUGAGUGGAACUGCGAGUGUAGAGGUGAAAUUCGUAGAUAUUCGCAAGAACACCCGUAGCGAAGGCGGCACUCUGGGCCGAUACUGACACUGAGGAGCGAAAGCGUGGGGAGCGAACAGG